GCCACCCCUGGCAGUUUGAUGCUGAUUGACCUCUCACUUCACCUCUUAUUGAAAGAAGCAUUUAUUUUGAUGUUCGGCGGCGCAGUUUUUCAAAUCGAGGACGAUGAAGAGAGAAUGUUAAUGUAGGUUGCGAGAUACAGAAGAAGAAGAAGGACACACAGAAGAAGAAGAGAGAUUCUUUCCACAGUUCCACGAGUUCUUUUCGCGAUUGGCGAAAGCAUCAUAUUUAAAACGUUUUGAAGAUCCAGAGAAGAGGGUCCUGUACCAGCUGUGUUUGAAAACAUUUCCCAGAACUCAGCAUGGUUCUCAGAAAAGGGCUUUCAACAUCUCCUGGAAUAAGGACAAUUCAUGGCUUGAAUAUUCUGUAAAUCAAGAUUCAACCUAUUGUUUCGCCUGUGUGCAUUUUUCUCUGCCCAAUAGACCUGAAUCUGCCUUCACAUCACAGUCGGGUUAUUGUAACUGGAAAAAGGCACUAUUUGAAGAUUCUGGGUUUAAGCUCCAUUCGAAGGCAGAGCAUCAUAUCAAUGCUGUGUAUGCUUGUGUAACAGUAUAAUUUUAAACCGUCCCCUCGCCCAUACCCGGGCGCGAACCAGGGACCUUCUGCACACAUCAACAACAGUCACCCACGAAGCAUCGUUACCCAUCGCUCCACAAAAGCCGCGGCCCUUGCAGAGCAAGGGGAACUACUACUUCAAGUGACGUAACCGAUUGAAACGCUAUUUAGCGCGCACCGCUAACUAAGCUAGCCGUUUCACAUCCGUUACACUUGGAAUCAGCAUAAAAGGGCUAUUGACAGCAACUCAUUAAUGUUAGGCAUCAUAAAUGAGGACCGGAAAAAGUAAGUGGAGGAAAACUGUCCUUACAUUAAAACAAUUGCAGAUGUGCUCCUAUUAACUGCCAUUCAAAACAUAGUGCAGAGAGGUCACCGAGAGUCUGAUGACUCUCACAACCAGAGUGAUUUUUUUUUUUUUUUACAUUUAGAAGAAAUCGCAAAGCAUGAACCUCUCAUAGAGAAAGGGAUGAAUGCAUGUGGCAAUGCUAAGUACACGAGCCACCAAAUCCAGAACAAAAUUCUUGAGGGCUUAGCUGAGAUGGUACAAAGCGAAAUAAUAAGAUGGGUAAAAGAAAGAUACGUUUUUAGUGUAAUUACAGAUGAAACCAGAGAUUGAAAGAAAAGAAGAACAAUGGGGCCAUCCACAAAAGCUUAGAUGCAGCAGGUCUCACAAACAUUAUAAUUGAUUGCCUUGAAAAACAUUGUUCUGGACUACAGAAAUAAACUUGUGGGGCAAGGCUAUGACAGUGCAUCCGUCAUGAGCGGAAAGCAUUCUGGUGUGUCUGUUCGGAUUCAAAAUUGUAUGUGCGCUGUAACGCACAUGGUUUGGUUUUGGUUCUUGCCGAUGCGGUAGAAUCGGUGCCUGAGGCAGUUCACUUUUUUGCUCUCCUGCAGAAGUUUUAUAACUUUCUAUUUGGCUCGUACGUUCAUCUCAAGUGGCUUGUAGUUCAAAAAGAGCUGUAGCCACAGCAGCAGCCCAGGGAACGACAGAGACUUACGGAUGGAAGGUGGGCAUGCAGAUGCAUCACAUGCCGUAAUCUGAGGGACAGGCUUCCAGCAGUUCUGAGAGUGCUACAGGAUAUCAUACUUGAAAAUAGUGGUGAUCGAUUAGUGGAGGCAAGGGGCCUUCUUUCUCAGAUUGACAUUUCAUAGGGCUUUUGGUUACCUUUUUUUUAUAAAUUGCUUGGUGAUGCCAGAUGUCUUUCUGACAUGCUCCAAUCAAGCGCUCUCGACCUAGCAAGGGCUGUGGAUCAAGUAGGUGCC